GACGAACGCUGGCGGCGUGCUUAACACAUGCAAGUCGAGCGAGAAAGCUCCUUCGGGAGUGAGUACAGCGGCGAACGGGUGAGUAACACGUGGGCAACCUGCCCUAGAGAGCGGGACAACCCGGGGAAACCCGAGCUAAUACCGCAUGAAUCGUCAUUGCUCAAGCAGUGGCGGGAAAUGGUAGCUUCGGCCUCCGCUCUAGGAUGGGCCCGCGGUCGAUUAGCUUGUUGGUGGGGUAACGGCUCACCAAGGCGACGAUCGAUAGCUGGUCUGAGAGGACGCUCAGCCACACUGGGACUGAGACACGGCCCAGACGCCUACGGGAGGCAGCAGUGGGGAAUCUUGCGCAAUGGGCGAAAGCCUGACGCAGCAACGCCGCGUGAGGGAUGACGGCCUUCGGGUUGUAAACCUCUUUCAGGAGGGACGAAGCUUCCGGGGUUAAUAGCCUACGGGGUGACGGUACCUCCAGAAGAAGCCCCGGCUAACUACGUGCCAGCCGCCGCAGUAA
rnacentral:rRNA from 1 species